UUCGGGAGCUAAGGCGAGGCCGAAAGGCGUAGUCGAUGCACAACCGGUUGAUAUUCCGGUACCACCGUGUCCGCGUCCAUUCCAAUUCUUGGUUGCUAAGGGGCUGUCAGGGGGUUUACCCCCGAAACGAACCGACCCACCUCGAGGCGGACAGCUGUAGGGGGACGCAGGAAGGUAGGUGAACCCAGGCGAUGGUUGUCCUGGGGUAAGCGUGUAGGGAGAGGUCCAGGCAAAUCCGGCCCUCAUAUAUCCUGAGACGUGAUACCGAAGCCGUAUGGCUUAAGUCACUGAUCCUAUGCUGCCUAGAAAAGCCCAGCAGUGAGUUGACAUGUGUGCCCGUACCCCAAACCGACACAGGUGGAUAGGUAGAGAAUACCAAGGCGAUUGAGUGAACUAUGGUUAAGGAACUCGGCAAAAUGCAUGCGUAACUUCGGGAUAAGCAUGACCCCGUUAGGGUGAAGAGACUUGCUCUCCGAGCUCGAAGGGGUGGCACAGAAUUGGGGGAAGCGACUGUUUACUAAAAACACAGCAGCGUGCGAAGCCGUAAGGCGCUGUAUACGCUGUGACGCCUGCCCGGUGCUGGAAGGUCACGGGGAAGGGUUAGCCCUUGAGGCGAAGCUCUGAACCUAAGCCCCAGUAAACGGCGGCCGUAACUAUAACGGUCCUAAGGUAGCGAAAUUCCUUGUCGGGUAAGUUCCGACCUGCACGAAUGGCGUAACGACUUCCCUACUGUCUCAACCAUAGACUCAGCGAAAUUGAAGUACGAGUAAAGAUGCUCGUUAGCUGUAGAAGGACGGAAAGACCCCGUGGACCUUUACUAUAGCUUGGUAUUGAGUUUUGUUAUGCAUUGUGUAGGAUAGGUGGGAGGCUAGGAAGCAUGCACGCCAGUGUGUGUGGAGCCAUCCUUGAAAUACCACCCUGUGUAUGGCGAGACUCUAACCUAGGACCGUUAUCCGGUCCGGGAACAGUGCCAGGUGGGUAGUUUGACUGGGGCGGUCGCCUCCUAAAAUGUAACGGAGGCGCCCAAAGGUUCCCUCAGGCUGGUUGGCAAUCAGCCGUCGAGUGCAAUGGCAUAAGGGAGCUUGACUGCGAGACGUACAUGUCGAGCAGGUGCGAAAGCAGGGCAUAGUGAUCCGGCGGUAGCGUGUGAAAGCGCCGUCGCUCAACGGAUAAAAGGUACCCCGGGGAUAACAGGCUAAUCUUCCCCAAGAGUCCAUAUCGACGGGAAGGUUUGGCACCUCGAUGUCGGCUCAUCGCAUCCUGGGGCUGAAGCAGGUCCCAAGGGUUGGGCUGUUCGCCCAUUAAAGCGGUACGCGAGCUGGGUUUAGAACGUCGCGAGACAGUUCGGUCCCUAUCCUCUACAGCCGGAAGUGACUUGAGAAAAGCUAUCCCUAGUACGAGAGGACCGGGAUGGACGCAGCUCUCGUGUGCCAGUUGUUCUGCCAAGAGCAUGGCUGGUUAGCGACCUGCGGAAGAGAUAACCGCUGAAAGCAUCUAAGUGGGAAGCUCCUUUCAAGAUGAGGUCACUCACAGGGUUAACCUGGUAAGGCCCGUGGUAGACGACCACGUUGAUAGGCCUGAAGUGUAAGCGUGGUAACACGUUCAGCUGACCGGUACUAAUCGGCCGAGGGCUUUGGU
rnacentral:rRNA from 1 species